CGGCGUGCUUAACGCAUGCAAGUGGAGCGACGGAACCGGGGCUUGCCCCGGGGCAGAGCCGCGAACGGUGAGUAACACGUGGGUAACCUGCCUCAAUGAUUGGACAACCGGGAAACUCGGGCUAAUACCAAAUGUGUUCACUCCUUCCAAGGGGAGUGAGGAAAGGAAGCUUCGGCCUCCGCAUUGAGAUGGGCCCGCGGCCCAUUAGCUUGUUGGUGAGGUAACGGCUCACCAAGGCUUCGAUGGGUAGCUGGUCUGAGAGGACGAUCAGCCACACUGGGACUGAGACCCGGCCCAGACUCCUACGGGAGGCAGCAGUGGGGAAUCUUGCACAAUGCGCGAAAGCGUGAUGCAGCAACGCCGCGUGGGGGAAGACGGCCUUCGGGUUGUAAACCCUUUCAGUUGGGACGAAGCUUCGUCGGUGAAUAGCCGGUUGGAGUGACGGUACCCUCAGAAGAAGCCCCGGCUAACUACGUG
rnacentral:rRNA from 1 species